rnacentral:rRNA from 1 species
GGCGUGCCUAAUACAUGCAAGUCGAGCGAACGGACGAGAAGCUUGCUUCUCUGAUGUUAGCGGCGGACGGGUGAGUAACACGUGGAUAACCUACCUAUAAGACUGGGAUAACUUCGGGAAACCGGAGCUAAUACCGGAUAAUAUUUUGAACCGCAUGGUUCAAAAGUGAAAGACGGUCUUGCUGUCACUUAUAGAUGGAUCCGCGCUGCAUUUGCUAGUUGGUAAGGUAACGGCUUACCAAGGCAACGAUGCAUAGCCGACCUGAGAGGGUGAUCGGCCACACUGGAACUGAGACACGGUCCAGACUCCUACGGGAGGCAGCAGUAGGGAAUCUUCCGCAAUGGGCGAAAGCCUGACGGAGCAACGCCGCGUGAGUGAUGAAGGUCUUCGGAUCGUAAAACUCUGUUAUUAGGGAAGAACAUAUGUGUAAGUAACUGUGCACAUCUUGACGGUACCUAAUCAGAAAGCCACGGCUAACUACGUGCCAGCAGCCGCGGUAAUACGUAGGUGGCAAGCGUUAUCCGGAAUUAUUGGGCGUAAAGCGCGCGUAGGCGGUUUUUUAAGUCUGAUGUGAAAGCCCACGGCUCAACCGUGGAGGGUCAUUGGAAACUGGAAAACUUGAGUGCAGAAGAGGAAAGUGGAAUUCCAUGUGUAGCGGUGAAAUGCGCAGAGAUAUGGAGGAACACCAGUGGCGAAGGCGACUUUCUGGUCUGUAACUGACGCUGAUGUGCGAAAGCGUGGGGAUCAAACAGGAUUAGAUACCCUGGUAGUCCACGCCAUAAACGAUGAGUGCUAAGUGUUAGGGGGUUUCCGCCCCUUAGUGCUGCAGCUAACGCAUUAAGCACUCCGCCUGGGGAGUACGACCGCAAGGUUGAAACUCAAAGGAAUUGACGGGGACCCGCACAAGCGGUGGAGCAUGUGGUUUAAUUCGAAGCAACGCGAAGAACCUUACCAAAUCUUGACAUCCUUUGACAACUCUAGAGAUAGAGCCUUCCCCUUCGGGGGACAAAGUGACAGGUGGUGCAUGGUUGUCGUCAGCUCGUGUCGUGAGAUGUUGGGUUAAGUCCCGCAACGAGCGCAACCCUUAAGCUUAGUUGCCAUCAUUAAGUUGGGCACUCUAAGUUGACUGCCGGUGACAAACCGGAGGAAGGUGGGGAUGACGUCAAAUCAUCAUGCCCCUUAUGAUUUGGGCUACACACGUGCUACAAUGGACAAUACAAAGGGCAGCGAAACCGCGAGGUCAAGCAAAUCCCAUAAAGUUGUUCUCAGUUCGGAUUGUAGUCUGCAACUCGACUACAUGAAGCUGGAAUCGCUAGUAAUCGUAGAUCAGCAUGCUACGGUGAAUACGUUCCCGGGUCUUGUACACACCGCCCGUCACACCACGAGAGUUUGUAACACCCGAAGCCGGUGGAGUAACCUUUUAGGAGCUAGCCGUCGAAGGUGGGACAAAUGAUUGGGGUGAAGUCAU